GUGCCAGCAGCCGCGGUAAUACGGAGGGUGCGAGCGUUAAUCGGAAUUACUGGGCGUAAAGCGCGCGUAGGUGGUUAAUUAAGUCAGAUGUGAAAGCCCAGGGCUCAACCUUGGAACUGCAUUUGAAACUGGUUAACUAGAGUUUUGUAGAGGGUGGGUAGAAUUUCAGGGUGUAGCGGGUGAAAUGCGUAGAGAUCUGAAGGAAUACCAGUGGCGAAGGGCGGCCACCUGGGACAAAGACUGACACUGAGGCGCGAAGGCGUGGGGAGCAAACGGGAUUAGAUACCCCGGUAGUCC
rnacentral:rRNA from 1 species